rnacentral:rRNA from 1 species
GGAGGCAGCNNUNGGGAAUAUUGGACAAUNGGCGAAAGCCUGAUCCAGCANUNCCGCGUGUGUGAAGAAGGCCUUCGGGUUGUAAAGCACUUUUGUCCGGAAAGAAAUCNUUGGCNNUNAUACAGUCGGGGGAUGACGGUACCGGAAGAAUAAGCACCGGCUAACUACGUGCCAGCAGGCGCGGUAAUACGUAGGGUGCNAGCGUUAAUNGGAAUUACUGGGCGUAAAGCGUGCGCNGGCGGUUUGNUAAGACCGAUGUGAAAUCCCCGGGCUCCACCUGGGAACUGCAUUGGUGACUGGCAGACUAGAGUAUGGCAGAGGGGGGUAGAAUUCCACGUGUAGCAGUGAAAUGCGUAGAGAUGUGGAGGAAUACCGAUGGCGAAGGCAGCCCCCUGGGCCAAUACUGACGNUCAUGCACGAAAGCGUGGGGAGCAAACAGGAUUAGAUACCCUGGUAGUNCACGCCCUAAACGAUGUCAANUAGUUGUUGGGGAUUCAUUUCNUUAGUAAUGUAGNUAACGCGUGAAGUUGACCGCNUGGGGAGUACGGUCGCAAGAUUAAAACUCAAAGGAAUUGACGGGGACCCGCACAANCGGUGGAUGAUGUGGAUUANUUCGAUGCAACGCGAAAAACNUUACCUACCCUUGACAUGGUGGAAUCCUGCUGAGAGGCGGGAGUGCUCNAAAGAGAA